rnacentral:rRNA from 1 species
GACGAACGCUGGCGGCGUGCUUAACACAUGCAAGUCGAACGGAAAGGCCCUGCUUUUGUGGGGUGCUCGAGUGGCGAACGGGUGAGUAACACGUGAGUAACCUGCCCUUGACUUUGGGAUAACUUCAGGAAACUGGGGCUAAUACCGGAUAGGAGCUCCUGCUGCAUGGGGGGGGUUGGAAAGUUUCGGCGGUUGGGGAUGGACUCGCGGCUUAUCAGCUUGUUGGUGGGGGAGUGGCUUACCAAGGCUUUGACGGGUAGCCGGCCUGAGAGGGUGACCGGCCACAUUGGGACUGAGUGACGGCCCAGGCUCCUACGGGAGGCAGCAGGGGGGACUGUGGCUCAAUGGGCGGAGGCCUGAUGCAGCAACGCCGCGUGCGGGAGGACGGCCUUCGGGUGGUAAACCGCUUUCGCCUGUGACGAAGCGUGAGGGGCGGUACUGGGUAAAGAAGCACCGGCUAACUACGU